UACGUAGGGUGCAAGCGUUAAUCGGAAUUACUGGCGUAAAGGCGUGACGCAGGCGGUGAUGUAAGACAGUUGUGAAAUCCCCGGGCUCAACCUGGGAACUGCAUCUGUGACUGCAUCGCUGGAGUGCGGCAGAGGGGGGAUGGAAUUCCGGCGUGUAGCAGUGAAAUGCGUAGAUAUGCGGAGGAACACCGAUGGCGAAGGCAA
rnacentral:rRNA from 1 species